rnacentral:lncRNA from 13 species
GGCAAAGCAGGAGUUAUAAGAAGAAUGAAAGAAAAUUAUCCCGCUCGCCAUAUAUUGCCAUUGUCUAAGAAAUAAAUGUUCCUUCUCUUCUUGUUUUAAGAAGUGCCAGAAUGUUGCAGAAAGGCCUCUUCUUAAGAAUAUUCCUCAGUCAAAUUCAUUUCGGCAUAAACUGCAUUUUAGGUGCUUUGUCGCCCUAUCUUAACUAUUUCAUCACUUCUGAAGGUAAAACUGUGGGUUUUGCCACCUGUCAUGAGCAGAAUAAAAGUUCCACCAGGUACUGCCGUAACCAAAUGGAUUCUGGAUGACUGAAAGCUCAACCAAGAGCUAACUUUCCUCCAGCUGCAGGAACUUGACAAUCUGCCGCAACAUUCCAUAUAGGCCAUGCUCUUCACAAGGAAACAGACGAUGACUGUGCAUGGAAGGACCACUGAAACUUGACCAUUUUUUUCUAUUACAGGGCUCCUGUACCAUACAAUCUUUUUGUCUAGAUCUGUGUUUUGAGUUAGAAACCUUAUUAAAUCUGUGGCACAGUCUAAGGGUCUCUGCUCAAUUCUCCUUCCUAGCUCCUUUCCUUUCAUAGGUGCCAGAUCAGCAUUGCAAUUUGACACUUUUCCCUAUGGAAUCCUGCUUCCUCCUCUUAAUUACUCGCAGCCAUUUUCCUAAGUGAAUCUCCUGAACUCUUAACACCUCAGCAUAUGAUAUCUAAAUAUUUUAAUUUAUGCAGUUUUAUGUACCCAGUGUCUUUUGUUUGAGUCUUUUUCAAAGUUUUAUAUAUUUAAGAUGUGGCUGGGCACAGUGGCUCACACCUGUAACCCCAGCAUUUUGGGAUGCCAAGGCAGGCGGAUCAUCUGAAGUUAGGAGUUCAAGGACAGCCUGACCAACAUGGAGA